rnacentral:rRNA from 1 species
AACGAACGCUGGCGGCAUGCCUAACACAUGCAAGUCGAACGAGACCUUCGGGUCUAGUGGCGCACGGGUGCGUAACGCGUGGGAACCUGCCCUUAGGUUCGGCAUAACUCCCCGAAUGGGGUGCGAAUACCGGAUAUUAUCCUCGGUCCAAAGAGUGAUCGCCUUUGGAUGGGCCCGCGUUGGAUAAGCUGGUUGUUAGGGUAAAAGCGUACAACGGCGACGAUCGGUAGCUGGUUUGUGAGGAUAAGCAGCGACACUGGCACGGAGACACGGUCCAGAAUCUUAGGGGAGGGAGGAGAGGGUAAUACAGCAAUGCGGGCGGUGGGCUGAAGCACCACGGCCGGUUGAGUGAUGAAGGUUUGGGGGUAGUAAAGUAAUUUUAUCCGGUACUAUUAUGACAGUACCGGGAGAAUAAGCACCGGCUAACUCCGUG